UAGUGGCACCAACCGGGACUAAAGAGGGGCAUUGGUCACGGUUCGUGGCACCAACCGUGACCAAUGCCCCUCUUUAGUCCCGGUUGGUGCCACCAA
rnacentral:pre_miRNA from 1 species